AAUGAACGCUGGCGGCAUGCCUAACACAUGCAAGUCGGAUGUGCCGCCAGGUGCAUGGCGGUCGGGUGAGUAGCGAGUAGGGGAUCUGCCUUUUUUAGGUGGAUAACUAUCCGUUAGGGGUGGUUAUAGCGCAUGAACCCGCGCGAUGAGAUGAUACCGGUGAAGCCUGGAGGCCGCAGGGCCUCGGGCCUUACGCGGAUGCUGUGUCGGAUUAGCUAGUUGGCGGGGUAAAGGCCCACCAAGGCGACGAUCCGUAGCCGGCCUGAGAGGAUGAUCGGCCACACUGGAACUGAGACAUGGUCCAGACUCCUACGGGAGGCAGCAGUGGGGAAUAUUGCGCAAUGGGCGAAAGCCUGACGCAGCAACGCCGCGUGGGUGAUGAAGGCCUUCGGAUUGUAAAACCCUGUUGUCAGGGACGAAGGGGGGAGGGUUAAUAGCGCGGUGUCUUGACGGUACCUGGAGAGGAAGCACCGGCUAACUCCGUG
rnacentral:rRNA from 1 species